rnacentral:rRNA from 1 species
UACGUAGGCAGCAAGCGUUGUUCGGAAUUACUGGGCGUAAAGAGUGUGUAGGCGGUGUUCUAAGUUUGUCGUGAAAUCUCCCGGCUUAACUGGGAGGGUGCGGCGAAAACUGGAAUGCUAGAGGAUGGGAGAGGUAAGCGGAAUUCCUGGUGUAGCGGUGAAAUGCGUAGAUAUCAGGAGGAACACCGGUGGUGUAGACGGCUUUCUGGACCGUAACUGACGCUGAGACACGAAAGCGUGGGUAGCAAACAGG